rnacentral:rRNA from 1 species
UACGUAGGGGGCAAGCGUUGUCCGGAAUCAUUGGGCGUAAAGAGCGUGUAGGCGGUUCGGUAAGUCGGCUGUGAAAGUCCAGGGCUCAACCCUGGGAUGCCGGUCGAUACUGCCGGACUAGAGUUCGGAAGAGGCGAGUGGAAUUCACGGUGUAGCGGUGAAAUGCGCAGAUAUCGGGAGGAACACCUAUGGCGAAGGCAGCUCGCUGGGACGUUACUGACGCUGAGACGCGAAAGCGUGGGGAGCAAACAGG